AAACUUCACUCGGAAGUGCUUCAGCGCCUCCUCUGUUUUCCCCGGUGCCAGGGAGUCCUUGAGAUACCGGAUGUCUUUGGAGCAGCUGAGCUCAGGCAGGCCUGCUGCCUGCAUCAGGGCAAAGAGGUGGAGGAAGAGAAGCCCGUGGCGCCGCAGGAUGGUGUUAGGCCCUUUCACAGUAGCCCCGGAACCUUUCAAAUUUCUCAUAUUAUUAGUCUUCCCCUGCUCAAUCACAUGGACAAAGUCAUAGUGUGAAACUACAACUGUGUUUAUAAGGAGGAUGCCACUGGAAAUGAAUUCUGCUCAAAGAAUGAACUCUCUACACACAUCAUCUUUCUCUCACAGACAUCAUACCACCUCAAGCACUGCAGCCUCAAAAGGGGAAAUUCCUGAGUGAUUCUUCUUGAAGCUUAAAUUCUGUGGGAUUUUUAUGGUGGAAAACUUAGGAGAGGAACCAGACAGCCCAUCUAGGAGCUGAUACUCUUCUAGUGAAGACCACCCUUGCAGGAAAGCAUCUGUCCUCCCAGAAUCCGGAUGUUAGGUUUGAGAAUUUACUAAUGUGUGACUUCUCUGAAACAAUUUAUUUAGGAAAAAAGGUUGAAUAAAUAUAUACUCAAUAAAAGUAUUGCAAAAAUUAAAUAAAUCACAUAGGUAAAGGUUGUCUAAAUGGGAAAUUCCUUCAGACAAACAGGGAUUUUUAAUUGUGACCACCAUUGUGUUUGUUAUCCAUUGCCACAGUCAUCUGGGACAGAAUGCAAUCACAAACUCCUUACUGACUUAAGAAAACAAGCAUUUACUUAAUCCAAACAUAGGUCUGAGGGAGGCCGAGCCAUUUUUCUGCUCUCAGCUGGGCUCACUCAUGAAUCUGCAGCUACCAAUGUGAUCCAGGCAGCUCAACACAUGGAAGGUGGGCUUGCUGGGCAGUGCCCCCUGGUCUCAGCUGGAGGAACCAGUCUCCCCCAUGGUGUGUGUCAUCCACCAACAGGAUGUCCCAGGCUUGGUUUCAUGCUGACGGUGAUUUAUCAACACUGUAAGCAGAACCGUGAAAGGUGUCUUGAGGCCAGGUGCAGGAGCAACACAGUGUCCCCUCAGCUGCAUUGUCUUGGUCAAAACUAGCCACGAGGCCAGCCCAGAUUGGAAAUAUGAGAAGGAGAAGCAACUUCUUGAUGGCAAGACCUGCAAAGUCACAUUGCAGCGGGCAUGGAUACCCUCAGAGGAUUCAAAAAUUGUGGCUGCUUUUGAAAUCAAUCCACUACAUUCAUUAAAUAUAAUAUGUAUAUCAAAGGAUCACAGAAUAAAAUAAAUUUAAAUUGGAUGAAUACUGUCGCUGGAAAGAAGAUAAUAUUUUGGAGAAGACAGACAGUCUUGAAUCUGCCAUGGCUCAUAACAGAACCUGGGAAAAUUUAAGGAAUGAAAACAAAGGUGAUUAGUGAAGGGUCAACACACUCAUGGAUUUAUUACAUCAUCUGGCACUAGGAAGUCCUUCAGUUUCCACACUGAGCACGUGGAUGGGCAAUGAGUAUUUAAUAGUCUAUAUUUCUAGGUGGAACAGUCUUAAACCUUUAUUAAACUUUAGUAUUUUUAUUUGAUACCUCCCAUCUCCAUAGGUGGCUGCAACUCUAUUUCAUAGAACAUAAACAAAUUCCUUCUUACAGUGCUGUAUU
rnacentral:lncRNA from 1 species